rnacentral:rRNA from 1 species
UACGUAGGGUGCGAGCGUUGUCCGGAAUCACUGGGCGUAAAGGGCGCGUAGGCGGCCCGGCAAGUCAGUGGUGAAAGCCCGAGGCUCAACUUCGGGUCGGCCACUGAUACUGCUAGGCUUGAGUCGACUAGAGGCAGAUGGAAUUCCGGGUGUAGCGGUGGAAUGCGUAGAGAUCCGGAAGAACACCGGUGGCGAAGGCGGUCUGCUGGGGUCGAACUGACGCUGAGGCGCGACAGCGUGGGGAGCAAACAGG